rnacentral:rRNA from 1 species
ACUGCACGACAGUGCGAUAAGGGGACCCCGAGUGCGAGGGCAUACAGUCCUCGCUUUUCUGAACGGUAAGGACGUUCAGGAACAAGUGCUGGGCAAGACCGGUGCCAGCCGCCGCGGUAAUACCGGCAGCACGAGUGAUGGCCGAUCUUAUUGGGCCUAAAGCGUCCGUAGCCGGCCGAGCAAGUUCGUCGGGAAAUCCACCAGCUCAACUGGUGGACGUCCGGCGAAAACUGCUCGGCUUGGGGCCGGAAGACCCAAGGGGUACGUCCGGGGUAGGAGUGAAAUCCUGUAAUCCCGGACGGACCGCCGAUGGCGAAAGCACCUUGGGAAGACGGACCCGACGGUGAGGGACGAAAGCUGGGG